rnacentral:rRNA from 1 species
GACAGAGGGUGCAAAACGUUGUUCGGAAUCACUGGGCGUAAAGGGUGCGUAGGCGGGUCUUUUAAGUCAGGGGGUGAAAAUCCUGGAGCUCAACUCCAGAAACUGCCCUUUUGAUACUGAGGAUCUUGAGUAUGGGAGAGGUGAGUGGAAACUGCGAGUGUAGAGGGUGAAAAAUUUCGUAGAUAUUUCGGGAAAGAAACACCCAGUGGCGAAAGGGCGACUCACUGG